rnacentral:lncRNA from 1 species
AAAAGAAAAAUAAAUAUUUAUUGAUAAAUGCAUGAAUACAUGCUGAAGCUUGUGUAAUAACAAUGCCAAAGGGAGUAGCCAGCCAACAGAAUCUACCACUAACUGAUGAGCAGAAUAGCAGUUUCACACAGCUAGCGUAAUGUAGAAGCGGAUCACAUGCAUCAGCAUUGUUGUAGACCUCUCAUGUUCUCAGGAUUGUGCGCUGACAUUUUUUUCUUCUUUUUUGCGGCUAGGAAGUCAGCAGGUCACAGAAAUGUCUCUAUAUUUGCCUUCAAGAACCCGACCCACAGCUAGUCUGAUCUUAUCUUCUAUAAAAAGCAGGACACAGCUCCACAUAUAGCAGUAGUAACAAGAAGUAGCCCAGAUUUUCAUUGAGAAACUGAUGUAACAACCACAGCACCUCAACGUCCUUGUCUCCUCCCUAGUGAGCGAAAUGUUCCUGAUAAUAAUCGCAAAAUAGUCAGCCAGUCAGUCAGGGGAGUGAAUGAAUCUCUGUAUCUUUAUCAAUGCUAGUAAAUAGGGCAGGCUAAUUUUAGGAUAAGUAUGAAAGGCACACAUCAGUUUUGUUCGCCAAACGUUAAACAAGAAAGCAUGGAGGAACAGUUUAAAUAGGAAUCUGAUUCAAGUCCACGGCAACUGAACCCCAGGUGGUGGAAAGCGCACAUAUCCUAAAUACAGUAUAAGUUAUAUUAAUAUGGGGAAAAUGGAAACUGCAUGAUCAGUUACUUGUUUUUGUCUAUGACUGGUGCAAUUACAGGCUAUGUACUUGAAGAAGAUAGAAAUCAACAUGGAGAAAGGAAUCACGCUGACAAACUCGUAACAAAUUCGCGUAGCCACAGCUACCAAUUGCUAAUUUAAUAACACCAACAUAUGAUAUAUGCAAGAACGAAGAAACAUCUAACCCUGACCUUGUGAAUAGCGACGAUCACCUAACCCUUUCCCAAAGUCCUUUCUAUGACAGUGCAACUGUAACAUUUCCUUGUGUGGUUAAUCUUCAUUACAUCGCCGCAUUCAUCUGAAUCUCUGUUCUGUCGGAGCUUCUCUAUCAACUCUUCUGAUGUGUCCAGCAAAUGCAAUUUCUCAAGGGCUGCAAGGUGUUCGAUGCCAUCAGGAAGAAACUUUAGCUCAGGACAGUCUUCGAACCAUAGCUCGACAAGGUUUUGCAUCGCGCCCUCCUCUACUGCAACUUGGUUGAGCUGUGCUGCAACCCAUAUCCUUAGAUAACCAAGUUUCGGAAAUGACCCUGCGUAAAAAUCCAGCCUCUUCCAUUCAAAAGCCUUCAAUAGCUCAAGAUAGCGUAGACCAUGUAGCAUUCACAGACAGAAAAGGUUUCCUCAUCAAUAUUGGAGAAUGCCAGGUACAACCGAGUGAGGCUAUUAAUGUGUGACCAAGAAGAGAAAAGCUGAGGCAUUGUUGUUUUCUCUAGAUGCCCUAGUAAACCAAGCACGGAAAGGGUUGGGGGUAAAUAUAGCCCUUCAAGCUGCAGCACCUCACUCUCAGCUGUAGCACGUAUUCGGAGAUGAACAAGAUAAUUCAUUCUGGUGAUAGCAUUGCUCAAGUCAGCAGAGUGUUCGUUUCUCACGUUGUGGACACCAAAUGUCCUUAGCUGUGUCAGAGCUGCAACUUCACGCAGAAACUCUGGAGUUGCUUCGACAGAAAAAAGAGCCUGCAGUCCCCCCAAGCGUUGUAUGCCACUAGGAAACUUGACCCCACGUGUGCUUAAAUCUUCUGGUGUGCCGGAAGUACACACAUACAGGUAUCUCAACUUAUAAAGUUUUACAACAUUGUUUGGCAAAUACGUUAGGUUAGACUUCCAAGCAUCCAAGACUUCUAGGUUUUGUAACCUCCCCACGGCUUCAGGUAGGCUUUCAAUCUCGGUAUCUCUAAGACCCAAAUAACGCAGAUUAAACAAGUUGAAUACCUCACUAGGAAGCACUUUGAUACCAGUUCCUUGCAGAUCCAACGUUGACAACAAACUUGAAGAUGCUAGGAUAGGCUUCAACAAAUCAACAUCGAUAUACCUCCCAAAUACAUGGAGCGCGUGGAGAUGUGUUGCACCAGAUUGGCUCAGUUGUUCAAGGUUUCCCCCCUGGACCGAUAUUCGACGUGCACCCUCUACAGAGAAUACCCCCGCAGAAGAGCCAUCAUAAACUUUACCAAACUAUUCCUCCUUGGCUUUGUUGAGGGCAAGAAGGCGUAUGACAUCAUGCAUCCGACAGUGUUUCAAUCGUCCAGUAUGAUUCCUCUUCACUACCUGCAAUAGGCUUCGGUUUACAAGCUAAACCAAGUAUCCCUCUGGCACUUCCUCCAAUGUUUUGCUAUCAUCUUUUUCCCAGAUAAACCCCGCCGCGAUCCACUGCCUGAUCAUCUUCAUCCUCUUUAAUACAUAAUCAUCUGGGAACAAUGCACAAUGUAUGAAACAAUUCUUCAGAUUGUAUGGAAGGGCCUCCAAGCUGACCUUUAGGAUCAUAUGAGCAUCAGGGAUCACAUCUUUCGCCAUCUGUAAAUCCAAACCCCUGUACACAUCCUCCCAUUCAGCGGAAAUUGGGGGUUUCAGGGAGAGUAGGCGGCCAAUGCAUCUAAUAGAAAUAGGCAAGCCUUGACACUUUGCUAUGAACUUCCGAGCCAAUUCCUGCAGCUCCAACGGGCACUCUUUGUCAUCAGCAUUCCCAAAGGCUUCAUUGGUAAAUAACAGCCAGGAGUAAUGUUCUUGUAGCAGUUCCAAGUGAAUUGCAUAUGCAGACUCCCUAGUUGCCAACACAACCUGCUUUCUUGAUGUGAUAACAAAUCGGCCGGUACAAUUAGAUGUUGGGAAGACAUCCCUUAUCUCCGACCACAAGUGCUCAUCCCAAACACCAUCCAGUAUCAAGAUGUACUUUUUACCUUGAAGGUAGUUAAGGAUGGAUUUUGCUAGGCCUCUCAUCUCAACAGUGGUGACAUCGACUGUGAUGUUGAACUGGGCGGCAAUCUUCUUUAGUAGAUUCUCAAUACGGUAACUCCCCGACACAGUUACGCACGCCGCACCGUCGAAAUCCGCUUUCACGGUGUUGUACACAUGAUCAACGAGAGUGGUUUUACCAACACCAGGCAUCCCCCACACCAUGGUGACUUUGCUGCUGCUCCGCUCCGGAUCAUCACCACCUCCAUUCAGCCACUGUAUCAACCCCUCCUUGUGUUCUUCGAUCCUAACAAGGUCCUCAUCCCUGGUGAAGUGCAAAGCUUGACCUUCUCUUGUCGAUCUAGCAGCAGAAGCAGAUCUGCCGGUGACGGCAUAAUCCUUCUUCCUUCGAUUGGCAUCCUGCAGCUGGGCUUCGAUUUCUUGGAGCUUGGCUGCCAGGCGGCGCCAGGUCUUGAUAUGCUUGAGCCGCUUCUUCAUCUUGCCUGUGAACCUGCCGUGCUUGCAGUCCUCCAGCUUGUAGUUGAACUCGUCGACGACGUCCUCGAUCUGGAAGGCGAGGCCCCUGAUCUUGCCGAUGAAGAUCGCGGUGGUCUUGUCAGUGUCCUUGAACUGCUCCGCCUCUUGCAGGUAGGCCUGCAUGCUCUCCAGCUCCUCCUUGGACCGACGUAUCUUGCCAAAGAGACCCCUCAGGGCUGUGGCUUCCUUUCACAGCAGCGCUCCGCCGUAGGUGGCCGCCUCUUUGGCUAGUGCUGCGCCGAGCGUGACCACCAGCUGCCCGACAACAGCCUCCGCCAUGGUCUUGAGGCUUUUGAUGAGUAAACUGGUUGUUUGAGCGCACAAUUUGGUGGUAGGUCUGAGGAGUAAAUUGGUGGUUUGGGCGCUGCUUCUAAUGUGGUGGUAGCUAAGGCUUCACAAACUUGAGUCCACAGUCUGGCCUUGGAAUAAUCAGCGUGCAUGCCAGACCACAAUUUGGUCUUCCACUAUCUGGUGGUUGUUGAGGCUUUGAGCUCCGUCCAACCAUUCCCAAUCCUCUUCCGGACCACAGGUUUGAACGAUGAGUGUUUCUUUUACACUCUUCCAUGUUUUUUUUUGUAUCCUCUGCCAAGCUUUUUUUUUUUUGCUGGUGUAUCCUCUGCCAAGUUGGACAGUAGCACCAACCAACACAUCUAGCUAGGUCCAAUCCGUUCUUUAUCCUCUUCCAGGCUAAAGCUUUGAGCUAUUCCAAGUUUUGUUAUCCAUCUAACAAAAACCCAUUUUAUCCUCAUCCAAGUUGCCACCAUGGUGAAGGACCCCUCCAACCAGAUGAGCACUACCUGCCCCCUUCAUAUGUACUGUGGUCCGCGGAUGGUUUCAAUCUCCGAGGAACAAAUUUCAGAGAAAUUUGUGUAAAGAGAUUUGUAUUUCACUCUGCUGGCAGUAGCAUACAGUUUUCUCACUAAGAAGAUCAUCACCGAGCAUUUUUAUGGAUGAAGAUUCUCACUGAGAAGCUAGUUUGCAAGCAUUUUCUCUUUUUGCAUAUGUUAGAUCCAUAAAACUACGUUGAAAAAUCGUUGUCCCCAAUUUCAUCACGAAUUUAUUGAAAUGCAGUUUUAGUUUACAGCAAAAUCAUUCCGGGUUGAGUUUCCAGCUGCAUACUUGCAUUGUCAACGUAUUCUCCCCUUCAGGAUUGCGCACGCCCAGGGAUGCGAAGACAUGGAUAGAUAGUUCUUUUUGCUCUUUGCUGCUAAGAAAUCGCUGCGGUCAUUGAAUUACAUAUUUGCAUUUGAUAACCAGAGCCACAGGCCACAGCUAAUCUUCUGACAACGUCGUCUUCGAUCGUAUGUAGGAAAAAAAAAACCAACUCUCAGUUAAUGGAAUCCCCUGCCAUGUUGUAGUGGCUGCAUAGACUUGGUGUAAUCCGGUCCUGUCAAAUGCCACUUGUGCCUGCGACGAGGAAUGCCUCGUGGAAAUUCCAGUAGCACUGACAUUGCCAUGUCUGAAGAAUGAGUGGACACUGUCAGUUGCCGAAUAGAUGGGUGUCAGCAACCUACACUACUUCCACACUUGGGCCGGACAAUGGGCUGCUGCUAUUGGACUUGGGCCGCUCAGAAGACUCGGGGAGACAUGCACUGGAAAUACAAGGGAGAUGGCAGGGAUCGAUUGGGCUUGGACCGGAACUUCUGUUCAUCGUCUCCUUCCUCUGAUCCCCUUCUUUCUGAUAAUCCUCUGUAAUUUGUGGUUGUAAUUGAUGAAUCAGUAGUGAAUCGAGAGAAAUAGUAGUUUGAACCUCACAAUGGGGCAGAAGAUGACUCUGUUCCACGUCCAGCAGUGUUGACAUGUUUUGUACUAAUCACAAAACUGCCUUUCUGGCCUGCACUUGUCAUUAGAGGAACAAAUAGAGUAAUCUAAGUUUGAUAUAUACUCCCUCCGUCCGAAAAUACGUCUAGAUACAUCCCCUUUUAUUCAAUUUGAUGACAAGUAUUUCCGGACGGAGGGAGUACAAUUUUUUAUUUAUUUAAUACUCAUAGAUGCAAAUUUGAGUCAAAAUAAAUGUUUGAACCAGUCCUUGGAAGGAUUCUCUUUUUUGUGUGUGUGUGUGUGACAGGAGAGGUGAGAAAGAAAACACAAUUAUUUCUUUUCGUAGAAGGAAAUAUGUUUUCUGACAAAAAAGGAACUUUGUAUUAUCGGAUGAACACUCAAGCAACAUCACUGAGAAGAUAACUUCAUACGUUCCAAUUCCGACGUGGCUCAGCUCAGCUCAAUACCAAACAAACAAUAACAGGUGCACGGCUCAACUCCUGAAUUUUAUUACGAAUACGUUGAGCGCAGUCUUUAAUUUACAGUGACACAGUUCCAAAAUGGGUUUCCAGCAACAUAAUUUCCAUGCUCCCAUGAACAUAGUUCACCAUGCCUGCUGAAUAGCGAGGAAUAAUAGUACUUGCAUAUUGCCCAGUAAUGAUCACAGCUUAUAUAAAUUAUUACAAGCGCCAGCGCCGGUGCACAAACUGAAAAUCUAGGAUCAGCGAAACAGCCACAUGUAGGUGCUCCUUAAGAAUCGGUCGUGUCAGAUACGGAUGUGCGUGCGUACAUGCAGGAAUGCUGAAGCUUGUCCAACAAUGGCGAACAAAGUAGCUAGACAACAGAAACUGCCACUGACGGAUGAACAGAGUACUCAUCUUACACAGCAUAAUGUUGAUCGGAAGUGAACGAAUCUCUUUCCAGCCAUAAAUAUUGUGAAUGAAUCUGUAUCUUUUCAGAAGUUACUUAGUUGACUCUGCCUCUUAAUUUUGGAUAACUAGUCAAGUACUCUCUCUGUAAACAAAUGUAGGUGUUUUUGCAGUUUAAAUUAAACAUGUGUGUACAGGGGGUGUAUGCAAGAUUGAAAUUACACAUUCUUUCUCUUCAACAAACUUUGAACCAAGGAACAUCCACAAAUUGGGAAACUGCAUGAUCAGCUCUGUCCUAUGGAGUCAGGUGACGAUACACAUAAACAUGCAGAAAAAUCAUGCUAGAUUUAGUUGACAAGCUCAUAUAAAUUUACACCACUAGGAGCUACUAGUUGCUUUAAUUCUGCUUGUUAGACUGUAUAUGGAUAUGUAGACUUGUGUAUACGUAUUGUACUUGUACUUGUACCCUUUGGUACUUAUAUAUAAUGAGAUAGCCGCACCCCUCAAGGGUGUCGAGCAGUUGCCCCAAUAUUCUAAUCUUACAUGGUAUCAGACUAGGGUUACCGUCUUCCGCUGCACCCCUUGCUGCCGCCGCCGCCUCCGCCGAUCGCUGCCGCCGCCUAGCCCGAUGGCCUCCGCGCACUCCGUUGCCGCCUCGGCUUCCUCUCCUGCUGGCGCGCCCGUCGCUCCCUCGUCGCCCUUCCUCGCAUCUCCCCCGCUCGCCACAGCUUGGCGGCAGCCGUCGCUGCCCGCCGAAAGCCAUCUGCAGGGCGGGCAGGGCGGGCAGGAGCAGGGCGGGCCGAGCCUGCCCCAGCCGCCGAUCGCCACUGGUGGCGCCUCGCCCUCGACCUUCGCCUUCGAGCCGCCACCCUCUCGCGGCGCUGCACCGUCCGCCUACGGGGCGGCUCCCCAACCCUACGGAGCCCCUCCGCCCUACUAUGGCGCUACCCCGACCUACGCUUCGUGGUACGGCGCCCCUGCACCAACGUACGGCGCCGCGCCACCGAUGCCUUCUACCUGGCCGAUGCCUCCGCCGUCACAGAUAGCGCCGUCACCCUAUGGCGCGGCCUACGGCGCCGCGCCCGCCGUGUCUUCGGUGGCCACGCCUGGUCCGGUCGAUGCCCCUUCCGGUCCUGGCUACGAGGCGUCCUUGGCCCUCGCUCCCCAUGAUGGGCAGAACAUGGGUCCUCAUGCGGGUUAUGCUCCGGCGCCAUCGCCGUUCUACUUCUCGCAUCUUCUUCCGGUGAAGCUUACACCGGACAACUACCUAUCCUGGCGGGCGCAGGUGCUACCUCUCCUAUGGAGUCGCUACUUGGAGGGCUAUGUUGAUGGCUCUAUCCCGUGUCCGCCGCCGUAUCACCCGGCUCAUCAUGUGUGGGUGGCCCAAGACCAAGCGAUACUUUCGGCCAUCCAGUCCUCGCUGACUCCGAGCGUGUCGUCGCUUGUCAUCUUUGCCGCGACAUCCCGGGAGGCUUGGUCUGCACUUCACAACAGUUUUGCCUCUCAGUCUCAGGCGCGUGCUCACUCUAUCCGCACUGAGUUGGGGGAGACCAAGCUUGGAGGCCUCACCAUCACGUAGUACUUCAACAAGAUGUCAGGACUUGCAGACAUGCUGGCCUCCAUUGGCCAGCCCCUUGGAGAUGAGGACUUCACCACUCAUGUGCUCAAUGGCCUCGAUGAUGACUAUGACAAUCUCAUUGAGAACGUCCAUGGGCGCGAGGCGCCUCUCCCGCCACGGGAACUGUAUGCGCGGCUCCUUGGUCGCGAACAUCGCAUCAAAGCGCGUCGAUCUACUCCGAGUUUUGCCUCUGCUAACGCCGCAACCCGUGGCAAAUCGCAGAAGCCAUCGCUCCCUGCCAAGCCGGCGGGCACAUCUCAGCCCUCACGGGGCGCCGCGCCGUCCAUCACAGGGGGAUCGUGGCCGGUGGCUUGCUGCCCCAGUUGUGGUGCUCAGUAGGCGUGCCAGCUGUGUGGGAUUGAGCGCCACGUAGCUUCUCGCUGUCAUCGCCGCUACAAGCAAGAUUUCCUUGGCCUCGGCAACAAUGGCAAGGGGAAUGAAAAACAGGCGGCCGCUGCGGUGGUGGGUCAUGAGCACGGGCGUACUCCAUCCUACUCGAUUGAUCCCUCGUGGUACAUGGACACGGGAGCUACCAACCACCUCACCAACGACAUGAGCAAGCUCUCGGUCCAGGAGCCAUAUCGUGGUCAUGAUCAGGUGCACACCGCUAACGGAGCAGGUAUGCGCAUCUCCCAUGUUGGUCAGGCAUCCCUUCUUGCACACAAUUCACGAAAACUGCAUUUGUCUAACAUCCUUCGUAUUCCCACUGCUUCGCGUAGUUUGUUGUCUGUUCCACAACUUACUCGUGACAAUAAUGUCCUUGCUGAAUUUCACCCUUUUCGUUUCUUUAUCAAGGAUCGGGACACGAGGGCCGUUCUGCUUAGCGGUCGUCUUCGCCGUGGCUUGUAUGCACUUGACGCGCCAACCGCACCUCCCAUGCAGUUUUCUCUUCAGGCGUUCAGUGGUGUUCGUGUCUCGCCUACACAUUGGCACGCGCGACUUGGUCAUCCUGCCGCUCCCAUAGUCCAUCAUGUGUUGCAGCGUCAUGAGCUACCGGUUGUGUCAAAUAAAACUGCUGAAACUAUUUGUGAUGCCUGUCAGCAGGGCAAGAGUCACCAACUCCCGUUUUCAGAGUCUAGUCGUGUUGUGAAACAUCCUCUUGAGCUUAUUUUUUCCGAUGUAUGGGGUCAUGCCCAAACGUCUGUUAGUGGCCAUAAUUAUUAUGUCAGUUUCAUUGAUGCUUACAGUCGGUUUACCUGGCUCUAUCUUAUUAAGAAAAAAUCUGAUGUGUUUGAUGUGUUUAUCCAGUUUCAAGCACAUGUUGAGCGUCUCCUUCGCUAGAAAAUUAUUCAUGUCCAAAGCGACUGGGGGGGGGUGAAUACCACAACCUCAACUCAUUCUUUAACAAGCUUGGGAUUACACACCGUGUGUCUUGCCCCCAUACGCAUCAGCAGAAUGGGACUGCCGAACGUAAGCAUCGUCACCUUGUAGAAACUGGCAUCACUUUGUUAGCUCAUGCCUCCGUACCAUUUAGGUUCUGGAGUGAUGCUUUCUCCACUGCCUGUUUUUUGAUCAAUAGGCUUCCUUCACGACUACUGAAUAUGAAAACCCCACUUGAACUCUUGCUCAAUGAAAUCCCAGGCUACACCUUUCUCAAAGUCUUCGGGUGUGCCUAUUGGCCUCAUUUGCGUCCAUAUAAUAAACAUAAGCUAGAGUUUCGGUCGAAAAAGUGUGUUUUUCUUGGGUAUAGUUCCCUUCACAAAGGGUACAAAUGCCUACAUGUUCCCACCAAUCGCGUUUACAUUUCUCGUGACGUUGUUUUUGAUGAGAAUGUGUUUCCCCUCCGUGCACUUCCGAAUACCUCUAUCACUCUUAUGCCAGACGCUUCUUCUACCACACCUCUGCCUGAUCAAUUUGUGGAUGUUGCAUAUGCUCCUGUGUUGCUCCCUAACCAUGCUGCAGGUGUUGGCCGUGGCGCUCGUCUCGAGCUCCUUGAAGAACAAGCACCGGCGCGUCCGGAGGACGAUCGCGUGCAUGGGGCAUGCAUAUCGGGCGGCACACCGCAACCCGCAAGAGCUGCGCCCGCGGCUGCCUCGCGGGCAUCGCCCGACCCCGCUCCGCGAGCGGCGUCCUCGCCCGCCUCGUGGGAGUUGCCCGAGCUAGCCUCGCAGGAGGUUGCUCCUGGGCCAGCCACGCCAGGCUCGCCUGGGCCGGCUUCGGCUCCCGAUGGGCCGGCCACCCCAGGCUCGCCUGCUUCUUCGGCGCUCAGCGGCUCCGGCGUGGGCCUGGGCGACGUGGCCGUGUCGGGCGCCACACCGCCCGCCUCCCCGACGCCCAGUGGCUCCGGCGCGAGCCCUGGCGACUCGGGGUCGCCUUCUUCGUCGCCUGUAUCAUGCCCUGCGUCGUCACCACAACCUGUUGCUCCUCGACAUCGCACGCGCAGUCAGACCGGUGUCUUUCAGCCUAAGAUCCGGACCGAUGGGACUGUUGCGUGGCUCGCCGCGUGCAUGGCUCAUGCUGCUGCGGAUCCCACUGCUGAGCCUCGCCACUUUCAGGCUGCACUAGGCAUUUCCCACUGGCGUGUCGCAAUGGAACAGGAGUUUCAAGCAUUGCUGAAGAAUGACACCUGGCAACUUGUUCCUCCAGUGUCUGGGGUCAAUAUCAUUGACUCUAAGUGGGUGUUUAAAGUUAAACGGCAUGCUGAUGGCUCCAUUGAGCGUUACAAGGCAAGGUUAGUGGCUAAGGGCUUCAAACAGAGGUAUGGUCUUGACUAUGAAGACACGUUCAGUCCAGUUAUCAAGCCUACUACCAUUCGUCUGCUACUAUCCCUUGUUGUUACUCGAGGAUGGUUUCUCCGUCAGCUUGAUGUGCAGAACGCUUUUUUGCAUGGAGUUCUGGAGGAGGAGGUUUAUAUGCGUCAGCCACCAGGGUUUGUGGAUCCUGCACGUCCUAAUCAUCUCUGUCGUCUUUUUAAGGCGCUCUAUGGUCUUAAGCAGGCUCCCCGUGCCUGGCAUGCACGUCUUGGUUCGGUUUUGCGAGCACUUGGGUUCAUUCCUUCUACUGCUGACACAUCACUGUUCCUUCUUCAACGCCCUGAGGUUACGAUGUAUUUACUGGUCUAUGUUGAUGAUAUUAUUCUCAUCAGUUCCUCAGAUGAUGCGGCAGACCGCCUUGUGGCUGCAUUGAGUGGUGAUUUUGCUGUUAAGGAUCUCGGUGCUCUGCACUUCUUCCUUGGUCUGGAGGUGUCACGGUCUUCUGCUGGAGUCACUCUUACUCAGAAGAAGUACGCUCUGGAUUUGUUGCGUCGUCCUGGUAUGCUGCAGUGUAAACCUGUCGCUACUCCUAUGUCUGCCACUGAUCGGUUGUCUGCUUUUGAUGGUGACCAUCUCUCCUCUGAUGAUGCCACUAAGUACCGCAGUCUUGUUGGAGGCCUGCAGUAUCUUACUAUCACCAGACCAGAUGUCUCUUAUGCAGUCAACCGUAUCUGUCAGUUUCUUCAUGCGCCCACGACAUCCCAUUGGUCCGCUGUGAAGCGCAUUCUGCGAUAUAUAUGCCUCACUGCAUCUCAUGGUUUGCUUCUCCAGUGUGCGCCGUCUUAUGAGAUCUCGGCCUUCUCUGAUGCUGACUGGGCUGAUAGUCCUGAUGACCGGCGAUCCACAGGGGGGUAUGCAGUGUUUCUUGGUCCCAACUUGAUUGCCUGGAAUGCUCGCAAGCAGACUACGGUGUCUCGCAGCAGCACAGAAGCCGAGUACAAAGCAGUUGAUGAUGCGACAGCUGAGAUCAUUUGGGUUCAGUCCUUGCUGAGGGAGUUGCGAGUUCCUUCAGUUCACUCUCCAGUGCUUUGGUGUGAUAACAUUGGUGCUACAUACUUAUCAUCUAACCCAGUGUUUCAUGCUCGAACAAAACAUAUUGAGGUUGACUAUCACUUUGUUCGAGAGCGUGUUGCACAGAAGCUGCUUAGCAUCAAGUUCAUAUCAUCAAAGGAUCAACUUGCUGACAUCUUCACGAAGCCUCUUCCACAACCACAGUUUGUAGGCUGCAGGCGCAAUCUUAACUUAGUUUGUACUUCAGGCCACAGUUAAGAUUGAGGGAGGGUGUUAGACUGUAUAUGGAUACGUAGACUUGUGCAUACGUGUUGUACUUGUACUUGUACCCUUUGGUACUUAUAUAUAAUGAGAUAGCCGCACCCCCCAAGGGUGUCGAGCAGUUGCCCCAAUAUUCUAAUCUUACACUGCUAACAUGACUAGUAGUUUUUCUUCUUUGCGGCUAAGAAAUCGUCGCGGUCAUGGGAAUACAGUCGUUGAUUUAAUGGAAGCCUGUGCCACGUUUUCAUGGUUGCAUAUACAUGCUGCAACCCAGUCCUGUCAAAUGCCAUUAUUUUUGUAGAAGCAAAUAUUUUUACACAAAAAAAAGAACAUUGCAUUAUUGGAUGACCAUUCAAUCAACAUCACUGAGAAGCUAAGUUAGUUACGUUCUGAUUCUAACGGAUAAAAAAAUGAUAACAGGAAAACACAGUUCAUCAUAUCAUAUGGUUUACAGCAGUAUAUGCCCAUGCUCUCAUUAACAAAAUUUACCAUGCCUGCUGAUUAAUGAUGAAUAGAUACUUGUAUUGCUUAAUAGUGAUCAUAUCUUAUACAGAUUUCAAGUGCCAUCGGCUAAGAAGAGCUAAUACUGAAAUAUCGGUCGCAUCAGGUAGAAGAGCGUAUGCAGACAUGCUGAAGCUUGUCUAACAAUGACACAGUAAGUGGGUAGGCAAUAGAAACUACCACAAACUGAUGAGCGGAAUACUCAUUUCACACAACUAGGGUAAUGUAGAAGAGGAUCACAUGCAUUUGCAUCUCAUGUUCUCCCUUUAGGAUUGCACUGACAAAUAGGCCGACUCCUAUAGAGCAGUAGUAACAAAGAGGAAUAUCCCAAAUUUUCAUUGAGAAACUGGUAAGAACCGCAACACCUCACCGACCUUGCCUCCUCCCUAGUGACCAGAAUGUGCUUGAAAUUGCAGCCCAGAAUCUAAUAAAAAAAAGCAACUGAGUCAGUCAGUCAGUCGGUCGGUGAGUGAAUGAGAGUCUCUGUAUCUUUGCCAAUGCUAGCAAAUAAGAUGGUUGACUAAGCCGGGGCAUUUUUGACAGCCAUUAAACCAAAGAGCAUGCGCGUAGGAUGAACUAGAAGUUACAUUAAGAGAGAGCUAAUGGGACACAGAUCCGAGUCCACGAGGACUGAACCUGGGUGGUGGAAAAUACACAUAUCUAAAGACAAGUGAACCUGUAUUAAUAUGAGGAAAAUGGAAACUGCAUGAUCAGUUACUUGUUUCUUUCUAUGAUCAAUUACGGGUUAUGUAGUUGCAUAUUUCUAGCCUAGGUGAAGAAGAUACACAUGAACAUUAAUUAGUUAUGGCAAACAAGCUCACAACAAAUUCACAUCGGUCAUUACUAGCUACCCAUUGCUAAUUUAAUUCUGUCAAUGUAUAAUGAUGUAUGCACGAAAGACAAAACAGAAUAACUAACCCUUCCAGCAGCGGUGAUGUAUCACCUAAUCCUUUCCCAAAGUCCUUUUUGCCUUAGUUGAACUGUAACAUUCCUUAUGUGGCUAAUCUUCAUUACAUCUUCACCGCAUUCACAUGAAUCUCUCUCCUGCCGGAGCUUCUCUAUCAGCUCUUCUGAUGUGUCCUCCAAACGCAACUUCUCAAGGGCUACGAGGUGUUCGAUGCCAUCAGGAAGAAACUUUAGCUCGGGACAGUCUCCGAAC